UACCAGUCCCGAAACAAAUUUACAAAUGACAGAUUCUUCACGGAAAGGGAAUGUACCACAUACCGGAAGUGACACGGAAGUGAUGAGCGUGGUCUUUUCGUGUUGUUGUUGUGGAGUUUAUGGCGUCAAAGAAGUUUAUGGUGACCGCCCGAACAUGGACUGCGGCCGAGGGAUGUUUUGCCCGUUUUGUGGCAAACACAUGAACAGCUUAACGCGGUUUUGCUUUACGUGUGGUCGGUGUUUGGAGUUUUUAAAGGACGCGGACAAGACGGAAACAUUGGAAACACAGGGGACGUCUCGACAGCCGGACAGUGCUAUGCAAAAUUCAGAGAUGGUCUUUCAACCCUGGAGUUUUUGACUGCACUACAGCAACACCCUACUUUGCUGGCCCCUGUCAUGUGCCACUCUGAAAGGCGACUCACUGCUUUUGAACUUGAGAGACUCUUCAAACCUGACCUCAGUCCUUCGGGGAGUAAUCGAAGACUUAAAGAAAGUCAAACCAUGGCCUACUGGGCAGACUAUCUCCUUGAUUGUGAAGAAGGCCAGGCUGCUGUGUCUGUGGAAGAUGUUUUGAUGUUUGCUACUGGGCUGUCUUCACUUCCCCCAUCUGGCUUGGAACCACUGCCACAAAUAGAGUUCCUGGAGGACUCUGCGUUCCCAAUGGCAAAUACAUUUGUUUAAGUCACAAAUGGACUUUGGAAUUCAAAAUAGUCCAGGAUUCGGCUGUUUCUAAGCUAUAUGAUGGAUGACCCCUAGAGUUAAGACUCUGAAAAAGUUGUUGUUGUUAAAGGUUAGGGUUGGGCAUCAUUUAGAUUUUAACGAUUCUGAUUCCAAUUCCGAUUCUUCCUUUUGAUUCCGGUUCUUAUCGAUUCUCGAUUCCGAUUCUUUGAGUGGUGGAGUUGAAACGGGUCACAUGCUUAUUUCACAAAUAAGAGGAACGUUUUAUUUUGAUUCAAAGGUGGGUUGCAGUUUGACGGGGCUUUUUCAAUGUAAAAUAAAGCCACACUAGAGCACCGCUUACUGUGCUCCAUGGCUGCAACACAACAAGCACCUGGCCGCUACAGAAACCAAAACUUGCGCAUGUUAAAUUUGGAACCCAAUCCUCCAAAACGAUUCCAAUAAAGAAACAAUUCCGAUGGAAUCGUAAUUUUUGUAACUAUUCCAAGUAGGAAUUGGUUCUUGAUGCCCAACCCUAUUAAAGGUGCACUUUUAAAGUGCAGUUGCCAAAGUUGUUUUUAUAAUGUUACUGUAUGUGAGCAUGUUCUUUUCUCACAGUAAACAUUUUGAAAAUGUUUUAGAUCCAUUACUCUCAAUACUACAAAAGUGUAAUAAAUACUGAUUACUA